ACCUGCUCUUUUCUGCUCUCUAGUGCUAGUUAACUUGAUCUUAUGAUGUGUAGCACCAAGGGCGGAGGGAGGGAGGGGGGUUUGUGGCCCCUUCAAGGUUCUGAAAAUUUUCAUUUGUACAUAUGUAUGCUAUUUCUAAUUUUUAUUUUAUUUUGCAUAUUACAUGAUAGCCCACCAAAUUCAAUGUAGCACUCCCAAAAAAUUUGUGAAGUCUACAUUGUAUUAGAGUUGGCUUUCAAAAUUUAGUAACUCAUAUAGUGGUCUCAAACAUUUACAAUAAUAUUAUGAUAGGCAUAUUUUCUUACAAUGUUUUGUUACCAUCUUAUGUAUCAAUUCUACGUUAGUAUUAAGCAUGAAUGGCUAAGGUGAUAAACAAAUUGUGGUAAAAAAAAAAUAUGAUCAUCCUAACAUUAAGAUCCCCUCAACUAUUAGCAAAUAUCACCUUACCGCUUAUCUAUAAAUUCAUACAUUUUGAUCCCUUCAACUAUAAAAACUAUACAAAUAAUGUUUAAUUGAGAUUAAUCUCUUAUAAUUUUAUUGGUUCAAUUGGCCUCUAUUAAGUAAUAUUCAAUAAUGAUUUAAUCAAAUAAAAUUCAUGCCGAUCCAUUAACAGCUCGGCGAGAUCUGCUGUAUGACUUCCUAUGGAGAAAUCCUGGCUCUGCCCCUACGUAGCAUCAUAUACGUUGCAGGAUACACUUUGUGCUUGUUCUUGGAUUUUUCAUAGUUUAUUCAUCCCAUUCUUUAUCCCUGCUAUCUAGAAAACCACUGUGGUCCUUUUGCUGACCUGAAGCUGUUUUUUGUGUUAUGUAAUUUAAGGAGAGGAUUCAUUGCAAUGGUAACUCAGGAAGCAAACACUUUGAAUGCUCAUGAUUGCUUCCAAAGACACUCACACGUGUAUGCACACAUGCACACAUUCUACCUGGCUGAUCUCUUCUUAUUUUCUUGUAUUGGUUAGAUGCAAUUAGUCUAUAUUGUUAACGAACCUGAUUGAAUAAAUACAUUCCCUCCUUUCAAUCCUUGUAGUAUGAUGCUGUUGGAUGGGCACCAAAGGAGUAUAAUCCAGACAAUAAGCAGCCCUCUGGUGGACAGGAGCCAAGUGGUGGAGAGGUUGCAGGUCUAAGGAUGCUUAUUCAUUACAAUCUGGCUUUGUUUGGGAUGAAGCAUCUGGCUAUUAUUAUGAUGCUUCUUCUGGAUUCUAUUAUGAUGGAAAUACAGGAGCAAUCAAAGGGUAACAUCGCGAACAGAGAAAGGAUGUAUACAAAACACAGGUGUGGUUCUAGGUCAAUCCCUGUUAGAGUAGAAAAACUGAUUGGAUUGGGGUGGCAUUUUUGACGUGCAACAAUGAUCUAAUUUGCUUGAAUGUUCAUUUUUGUUUGAUAAGGACACA